GAUCGUGUAGCUCAUUGGCAAAGCACAGGGAUUGUUACCCUGAGAAACUGGUUCGAUUCCAGUCUCGAUCA